UACGUAGGGUGCGAGCGUUGUCCGGAAUUAUUGGGCGUAAAGAGCUCGUAGGCGGUUUGUUGCGUCGGCCGUGAAAACCUGCAGCUUAACUGUGGGCCUGCGGCCGAUACGGGCAGACUUGAGUUCGGUAGGGGAGACUGGAAUUCCUGGUGUAGCGGUGAAAUGCGCAGAUAUCAGGAAGAACACCGGUGGCGAAGGCGGCUCUCUGGGCCUUACCUGACGCUGAGGAGCGAAAGCGUGGGGAGCAAACAGG
rnacentral:rRNA from 1 species